rnacentral:lncRNA from 10 species
CUCAGAUUUUACAUCAUCUAAUUAUUUGGCUGUUUUCUCCAGGCAGAGCACAUUGCACUCUUCUCUGUACUACCAAGGGUUGGCUGAUCCGUCUGAACCACAGGAGAGGAUGAGCACAUGACUGUGAACGGAUGAGAAAAAAGGUGGCAAAGGAGUGAUUAUGUGUCUUCUCAAGGAUGUUGACAUUUGGAACCUGAUUUCCCCCUUCCACACAUUUCUUCCCCAGGAGCAUGCAUUUCCCAAGCAAUUUCCCAAAAUAUUGCUUAUUAACCAUGGGAAAAGCAAUUCUCCACAAAAGUGAGAAUGGACCACAAACGAAUCACACUUACCAGAGAGACUGAAUAGAUUGAUAGAAUCUGACAUUCAGGCACGCCUCACUGCAGUUAAAUGUUGGCAUCUGAUAGCUUACAGCUGACUAGUUUUCCAAAGAAUUACCUUUGGGCUAAUGGAAACUGCCUCACUAGGGAAGUUACUCCCUCCCAUACAAGCCUGCUGCUGGCUGACUGACUGACAUGUGGUGCAAUAGAGCAGCUUGCCUCAAGAUGGGACCUUUUCUCUGGAGCAAUUUGUGAUCCCUAGUGCCCUGUGGAGUCAGAGUACAGCUAAUAUUCAGUUGAGCCACAUUCCUGCUUAGCAUUUUCCCUGUUCUUUAUUGUUUCCAUCAUCCCCCUUUUUUCAAAGAGCACUUCCUCAAUAAAUCACUUGUAAAAGAAUCCUCUUCUUGAACUCUGCUAGGGAACCCAACAUAAGAUACUUGUUGAUAAAUAGAAUAUCAUGUCUUCAUCAAAA